AGACUGAAGCUUGCAAGAAUCCUAAAUGAAACUGAAUCCAGAGUGAAGGCUUGGUUUAGCAAUCGGAGAACCAAACAAAGGAAACUGAGAGGAAGGCAGUGCUCAGGAAUGCACUGCCGGUGCCCCUGGCCCACGUUCCACGGGAUGUGAAGAGCUCCAGGAUACUGGCGUUUUCCAGAAGCUGAUUGCGGUUGCAGCUUGUCUUCACACACACGCCUGGGCCACGGAUAUGUGCCCAUGUUAUGGUUACCUGCAUAGUACUUAUGUUUGCAAUAAAGAAGUGAAUUCUCA